rnacentral:rRNA from 1 species
UAGUAACUGCGAGUGAAGCGGGAUGAGCUCAAAUUUUGAAUCUGGCGGUCUUCGGCCGUCCGAGUUGUAAUCUAGAGAAGCGUCUUCCGCGCUGGCCCGUGUACAAGUCUCCUGGAAAGGAGCAUCAUAGAGGGUGAGAAUCCCGUCUUUGACACGGACGACCAGUGCUAUGUGAUGCGCUCUCGACGAGUCGAGUUGUUUGGGAAUGCAGCUCAAAGCGGGUGGUAAAUUCCAUCUAAAGCUAAAUACAGGCGAGAGACCGAUAGCGAACAAGUACCGUGAGGGAAAGAUGAAAAGAACUUUGGAAAGAGAGUUAAACCGUACGUGAAAUUGCUGAAAGGGAAACGCUUGAUGUCAGUCGCGUCGGCCGGGGAUCAACCUUGCUCAACCGCUCGGUGUACUUCCUGGUCGACGGGUCAGCAUCGGUUUCGGUCGCCGUACAAGGGCGAGGGGAACGUGGCACUCUCCGGAGUGUGUUAUAGCCCUUCGUCGCAUGCGGCGCUCGGGA